AUGCACGCUGGCGGCGUGCCUAAUCCAUGCAAGUCGCGCGAACAGACGAGGAGCUUGCUCCUCUGACGUUAGCGGCGGACGGGUGAGUAACACGUGGAUAACCUACCUAUAAGACUGGGAUAACUUCGGGAAACCGGAGCUAAUACCGGAUAAUAUAUUGAACCGCAUGGUUCAAUAGUGAAAGACGGUUUUGCUGUCACUUAUAGAUGGAUCCGCGCCGCAUUAGCUAGUUGGUAAGGUAACGGCUUACCAAGGCAACGAUGCGUAGCCGACCUGAGAGGGUGAUCGGCCACACUGGAACUGAGACACGGUCCAGACUCCUACGGGAGGCAGCAGUAGGGAAUCUUCCGCAAUGGGCGAAAGCUUGACGGAGCAACGCCGCGUGAGUGAUGAAGGUCUUCGGAUCGUAAAACUCUGUUAUUAGGGAAGAACAAAUGUGUAAGUAACUAUGCACGUCUUGACGGUACCUAAUCAGAAAGCCACGGCUAACUACGUG
rnacentral:rRNA from 1 species